AGGAGGAACAACCCCAGUGGCGGGCCAGCUCUGGAACCUGGAUUCAGCUCCGGCAGGAACGCCGGAGCUCUCCCUCUCAGGGCCCGGAGGCUCCGGGGCGGG
rnacentral:pre_miRNA from 1 species